rnacentral:rRNA from 1 species
UGCCAGACUCCUACGGGAGGCAGCAGUGGGGAAUAUUGCACAAUGGGGGAAACCCUGAUGCAGCGACGCCGCGUGAGCGAUGAAGUAUUUCAGUAUGUAAAGCUCUAUCAGCAGGGAAGAAAAUGACGGUACCUGACUAAGAAGCCCCGGCUAACUACGUGCCAGCAGCCGCGGUAAUACGUAGGGGGCAAGCGUUAUCCGGAUUUACUGGGUGUAAAGGGAGCGUAGACGGUCCUGCAAGCCAGAUGUGAAAGCCCGGGGCUCAACCCCGGGACUGCAUUUGGAACUGUAAGGCUAGAGUGUCGGAGAGGCAGGCGGAAUUCCUAGUGUAGCGGUGAAAUGCGUAGAUAUUAGGAGGAACACCAGUGGCGAAGGCGGCCUGCUGGACGAUGACUGACGUUGAGGCUCGAAAGCGUGGGGAGCAAACAGGAUUAGAUACCCCCGUAC